CCAGACUCCUACGGGAGGCAGCAGUGAGGAAUAUUGGUCAAUGGCCGGAAGGCUGAACCAGCCAAGCCGCGUGAAGGACGAAGGUGCCAAGCAUUGUAAACUUCCUUUGUCAAGGGACAAAAUCAGGCUCGAGAGCCUGACCGAGGGUACUUGAAGAAAAAGCAUCGGCUAACUCCGUGCCAGCAGCCGCGGUAAUACGGAGGGUGCAAGCGUUGUCCGGAAUCAUUGGGCGUAAAGAGUUCGUAGGCGGCAUGUAAAGUCAGGUGUUAAAGGCGCAGGCUCAACCUGUGUAUGGCACUUGAUACUUGCAAGCUGGAAUGCGGUAGAGGUAAAGGGAAUUCCUGGUGUAGCGGUGAAAUGCUUAGAUAUCAGGAGGAACGUCGGUGGCGUAAGCGCUUUACUGGGCCGUAAUUGACGCUGAGGAACGAAAGCCAGGGUAGCAAAUGGGAUUAGAUACCCCCGUA
rnacentral:rRNA from 1 species